ACGAACGCUGGCGGCGUGCCUAAUACAUGCAAGUAGAACGCUGAAGAGAGGAGCUUGCUCUUCUUGGAUGAGUUGCGAACGGGUGAGUAACGCGUAGGUAACCUGCCUUGUAGCGGGGGAUAACUAUUGGAAACGAUAGCUAAUACCGCAUAACAAUGGAUGACACAUGUCAUUUAUUUGAAAGGGGCAAUUGCUCCACUACAAGAUGGACCUGCGUUGUAUUAGCUAGUAGGUGAGGUAAUGGCUCACCUAGGCGACGAUACAUAGCCGACCUGAGAGGGUGAUCGGCCACACUGGGACUGAGACACGGCCCAGACUCCUACGGGAGGCAGCAGUAGGGAAUCUUCGGCAAUGGGGGCAACCCUGACCGAGCAACGCCGCGUGAGUGAAGAAGGUUUUCGGAUCGUAAAGCUCUGUUGUAAGUCAAGAACGGGUGUGAGAGUGGAAAGUUCACACUGUGACGGUAGCUUACCAGAAAGGGACGGCUAACUACGUGCCAGCAGCCGCGGUAAUACGUAGGUCCCGAGCGUUGUCCGGAUUUAUUGGGCGUAAAGCGAGCGCAGGCGGUUUGAUAAGUCUGAAGUUAAAGGCUGUGGCUCAACCAUAGUUCGCUUUGGAAACUGUCAAACUUGAGUGCAGAAGGGGAGAGUGGAAUUCCAUGUGUAGCGGUGAAAUGCGUAGAUAUAUGGAGGAACACCGGUGGCGAAAGCGGCUCUCUGGUCUGUAGCUGACGCUGAGGCUCGAAAGCGUGGGGAGCGAACAGGAUUAGAUACCCUGGUAGUCCACGCCGUAAACGAUGAGUGCUAGGUGUUGGAUCCUUUCCGGGAUUCAGUGCCGCAGCUAACGCAUUAAGCACUCCGCCUGGGGAGUACGACCGCAAGGUUGAAACUCAAAGGAAUUGACGGGGGCCCGCACAAGCGGUGGAGCAUGUGGUUUAAUUCGAAGCAACGCGAAGAACCUUACCAGGUCUUGACAUCCCGAUGCUAUUUCUAGAGAUAGAAAGUUACUUCGGUACAUCGGUGACAGGUGGUGCAUGGUUGUCGUCAGCUCGUGUCGUGAGAUGUUGGGUUAAGUCCCGCAACGAGCGCAACCCCUAUUGUUAGUUGCCAUCAUUCAGUUGGGCACUCUAGCGAGACUGCCGGUAAUAAACCGGAGGAAGGUGGGGAUGACGUCAAAUCAUCAUGCCCCUUAUGACCUGGGCUACACACGUGCUACAAUGGUUGGUACAACGAGUUGCGAGUCGGUGACGGCGAGCUAAUCUCUUAAAGCCAAUCUCAGUUCGGAUUGUAGGCUGCAACUCGCCUACAUGAAGUCGGAAUCGCUAGUAAUCGCGGAUCAGCACGCCGCGAUGAAUACGUUCCCGGGCCUUGUACACACCGCCCGUCACACCACGAGAGUUUGUAACACCCGAAGUCGGUGAGGUAACCUUUUGGAGCCAGCCGCCUAAGGUGGGACAGAUGAUUGGGGUG
rnacentral:rRNA from 1 species